rnacentral:rRNA from 1 species
CCUACGGGAGGCAGCAGUAGGGAAUCUUCGGCAAUGGGGGCAACCCUGACCGAGCAACGCCGCGUGAGUGAAGAAGGUUUUCGGAUCGUAAAGCUCUGUUGUAAGAGAAGAACGAGUGUGAGAGUGGAAAGUUCACACUGUGACGGUAACUUACCAGAAAGGGACGGCUAACUACGUGCCAGCAGCCGCGGUAG